rfam:Octopus bimaculoides Scaffold3660_contig_167, whole genome shotgun sequence.
GCAUCGGUGGUUCAGUGGUAGAAUUCUCGCUUCCCACGUGAGUGACCCGGGUUCGAUUCCCGGUCGAUGCA